rnacentral:lncRNA from 1 species
UGUCUCUCUUAGGUAGUGCAUCUCUCUAGUUGCAUUCUUUGUGGGGGUGGGGGAGGAAGGUCUUUCUCACAUUGGGGUUGGAGCUUCUUUAAUUAUGAUUUUUGAAUUACACUACCUCACUUGUUAGUAGGUUGGAAGGUCUAAAUUUAGUAGGUCUCCUUCCUCUAUAUUGGUGGAAUAUGUAUCAACCCAUAAUCCUUUUUGUAAAAAAAUGUUACCCAGUUUCUUU